CGCGUAGGUGGCGGUAUAAGUCAGACGUGAAAUCCCUCAGCUUAACUGAGGAAUUGCGUUUGAAACUGUAUUGCUUGAGUACAGGAGAGGAGAGUGGAAUUCCCAGUGUAGCGGUGAAAUGCGUAGAUAUUGGGAGGAACACCGGUGGCGAAGGCGGCUCUCUGGACUGUUACUGACGCUGAGGCGCGAAAGCAUGGGGAGCAAACGGGAUUAGAUACCCCGGUAGUCCAUGCUGUAAACGAUGGGCACUAGGUGUAGAGGGUUUCAACCCCUUCUGUGCCGUAGCUAACGCAUUAAGUGCCCCGCCUGGGGAGUACGGUCGCAAGAUUAAA
rnacentral:rRNA from 1 species